rnacentral:misc_RNA from 1 species
GAUGAAGAACGCAGCGAAAUGCGAUACUUGGUGUGAAUUGCAAAAUCCCGUGAACCAUCGAGUCUUUGAACGCAAGUUGCGCCCGAAGCCAUUAGGCCGAGGGCACGCCUGCCUGGGCGUCACACGUCGUUGCCCCCCCAUCUACUCCUUCGGGAUUGCGGGGGGCGGAUGAUGGCCUCCCGUGCGCCUCGUCGCGCGGUUGGCAUAAAUGCCAAGUCCUCGGCGACGCACGCCACGACAGUCGGUGGUUGCGAAACCUCGGUUGCCCGUCGUGUGCGGUCGUCGCGCAUCGAGGGCUCGAAAAAAUUGCCGGGCUCCGGCUCGGCUUUCAACGCGACCCCAGGUCAGGCGGGGUUACCCGCUGAAUUUAAGCAUAUCAAUAAGCGGAGGA